GAUGAACGCUGGCGGCGUGCCUAAUACAUGCAAGUCGAGCGAACGGACGAGAAGCUUGCUUCUCUGAUGUUAGCGGCGGACGGGUGAGUAACACGUGGAUAACCUACCUAUAAGACUGGGAUAACUUCGGGAAACCGUAGCUAAUACCGGAUAAUAUUUUGAACCGCAUGGUUCAAAAGUGAAAGACGGUCUUGCUGUCACUUAUAGAUGGAUCCGCGCUGCAUUAGCUAGUUGGUAAGGUAACGGCUUACCAAGGCAACGAUGCAUAGCCGACCUGAGAGGGUGAUCGGCCACACUGGAACUGAGACACGGUCCAGGCUCCUACGGGAGGCAGCAGUAGGGAAUCUUCCGCAAUGGGCGAAAGCCUGACGGAGCAACGCCGCGUGAGUGAUGAAGGUCUUCGGAUCGUAAAACUCUGUUAUUAGGGAAGAACAUAUGUGUAAGUAACUGUGCACAUCUUGACGGUACCUAACCAGAAAGCCACGGCUAACUACGUG
rnacentral:rRNA from 1 species